AACAAAAACCAGAAAAAAAAAAGAAGAACUCAAAAAAAGUAUUUGUGUUUUUUUAGCCUUAUUUUAUUUUAUUUUUUUGAAGAUCCCCGACUUUUUGACCUUUUCUUAU
rnacentral:ribozyme from 13 species